rnacentral:tRNA from 1 species
GCGCCCGUAGCUCAGUGGAUUAGAGCAUCUGGCUUCGAACCAGAGGGUCGGGAGUUCGAAUCUCUCCGGGCGCG